rnacentral:rRNA from 1 species
CCUACGGGAGGCUGCAGUGAGGAAUAUUGGUCAAUGGACGCAAGCCUGAACCAGCCAAGUCGCGUGCAGGAUGACGGCCCUACGAGUUGUAAACUGCUUUUGUACGAGGGUAACGCCACAUACGCGUAUGUCUCUGCAUGUAUCGUACGAAUAAGGACCGGCUAACUCCGUGCCAGCAGCCGCGGUAAUACGGAGGACUCAAGCGUUAUCCGGAUUUAUUGGGUUUAAAGGGUGCGUAGGCGGUCGGAUAAGUCAGAGGUGAAAUCUCGGGGCUCAACUCAGGAAUUGCCGCGCAUACUGUUCGGCUAGAGAGUGGUUGCAGUAGGCGGAAUGUAUGGUGUAGCGGUGAAAUGCUUAGAUAUCAUACAGAACACCGAUUGCGAAGGCAGCUUGCCAAACU